UCAGAGGUCAAAGAUUCAAUUAGUAGAAUCCAGGAAAGUCAGAACAUCUAAGGAAGAGCUCAGACACAGCCCCACAGAGCCCCACUCAACAAAACAACCAGAAGUAUUUGCCCGAGAGGCAGGACUUAUAUGUCACUAGUGCUUGUAGGUCUUAUUCAGAAACCUACAGAGCACUGCUCCUAGAUGGGAUUGGAGCAAGACUGUAGGAAACAUGAAUUCCUGCAGGUGGAAUUUCCUGAGAAGGAAGACACAAUUCCAAUGGAGAUCAGAGUGAACUCAGAAAGUGGUCACAGGAGGAAACCGAAUCAGUAGAACGCCGGUGGUGCUAUGCGGUUCUUACUUCUGUGACCAGCACACAUACUUCUAUGUACUAGACUUUGUCUAGACUUAAUUCUAUGCCGGGAAACACUUCCAUUUGACUUCCUCUUUGAUGCAAGGAUACACAGUUUUAAGAAAUGCCCACUGUAUUAAUUCUCUUUACUUUUUUGUGCAGAAUAAAAAGCAAGAAUAUUAGAAUAACAAUA